rnacentral:rRNA from 1 species
UAUCGAGGUCCCAAGCGUUGUUCGGAUUCACUGGGCGUAAAGGGUGCGUAGGCGGUCGGGUAAGUCUGAUGUGAAAUCUCACAGCUUAACUGUGAAACUGCAUUGGAUACUAUCCGGCUAGAGGAAUGGAGGGGAGACUGGAAUACUUGGUGUAGCAGUGAAAUGCGUAGAUAUCAAGUGGAACACCAGUGGCGAAGGCGAGUCUCUGGACAUUUCCUGACGCUGAGGCACGAAAGCCAGGGGAGCAAACGGG